AAUUGUGAUUGGUCUAGCCACAUGUGCAAGGAUUCUAAUCUUGUCCGUAGAAUACAUUUAAUCCAACGAAUCAGAUUUCUUUUCUUCUCUCCCACAUUUCUUUCUUUAUCAUUCUCUCUGCUUUUCCAAUCGUCUCUCUCUCUCAGAUUUUGACUUUACCAUUUCAGUUACCAGAGUUCCUCACCAUAAAAGAGCAUUGGAGAAGGAGAAAGUGUACAGAUAAGGUUCAAGAACCAGUUCUCUUUAUCUUCACCAGAAAUAAUCGUUAAAGACAGAAGAGAUGGAAAGCUCUAGGCCCAUCGCUGCCGAGCUCUAGCCCGUGGCCAUCGUCACCUCCUCGCCACAGUUCCUCCUCUCCUCGUCUCCUCCUGUGAGUUUUUGCGGCAGAAGAAGAUGAUACGGUGGUCGUUGGAUUUGCUAGAAGAAGACUAAGACGAUUUGUGGUAAAUGUGGUGGUCGUUGGAUUCACGUCACACGUCACACGACUUGAGGUUGGGACGCGGCUUGAAGCUUCAAGAUUAGAUUUAGUUUUUUUUUUCUGGUUUUACUUUUUUUUUUUUUAAUUCUGGUUUAGUUUGUAAACCGGAUUUAAUUGUAAAACGAUUUAUAAAAUUAGUUACAAUGAACUGCGAGGAAAUAUAAAAUUGUAUUUUGUGUUU